UCUCAGAUGGUCCAGUGGUCAAGAUUUCCGCCUGUCAUCAUAAAUUUGGCAUCCUACCUGCCAAAGAUUGCUCGCGGACGACCGGGGUUCGAUUCCCCGUCUGAGAG
rnacentral:tRNA from 1 species